GUCACGGCCCGCGCAGAGGCCCUGCGGGAAAUCUGUGAAUUUUGUUAGUAUUGUUGCACAAACAAAAACUGUCCCUUAAAACGGUUUUAAAUGUAGCAAACACCAUCCAUAUCAUUAAGCACUAACUAAUAAUUUCCGAAAUAGCAUGUUGUCUCACAUUUUAUUUCCAGAUCUCAUUGAGUGGGUGGGGAAAAGCUUUCAGAGUUCAGCAUUCACUUGGUUCUUCAUCUGCUAUGUUUUCUGUUAGUGCGAGAAUCCAGUGGCUCUGAUAUUUAGCUUGCGGAUCUAGUUUUUGAAGCAUCUGAAGUCUGGGGUUCCUGGACACUGUGGUCUGUACGUUUGCUGUGCGUUCCUUUUCUUCCUGGGAGUCCCGACAGCUGUAUGGCUCUGCUGGGUCUGUUCACCUUCCUUCUGCCUUCUCAUAAACAAUCCUUUGUUGCUCAGAAUUUUUCUCUUAUGUAAUCGUCUACUAGGUUUUUCCCACGUCCUUCCUCCAAUCUCAGUAUUUCAUUUUCCUCCUGAAUCUGAUCUGUCUGUCCUCAUCCUUGCUUUAUCUUGCCCUCUUGCUUUAUUGAGACUUGCUGCCUCAGCUCUUCUGCCAUUUGGAAUAUCCUUCCCACCAUUUUCAGAUUAAUCACAGGACUUCCACUGGUUGCCAGUAUUCUCUUGCCAGUGUUGGCAGGUGAUUCAGGCCCCCUUAGAAACAGACUGAGGCUCCGCCUGACCGCCCACUACACAGCAGAGACUGAGGCUCCAUGCCACCACAGGGCAAUCGUGGUAUCUGGAAGGCGAGCACCCAUCCAGAGCCAACGCCUGACCACUGCAGCUUGGGGCAGAAGAAAGCAAGUUUUGCUCUUGGAGGAGCCAGAUCCUGGGAAGGAGCUGAGGCUGCUGCUUCCUGAUUUAUCCAUGAUGCAUGGGUUCCAUCUAACACUUGAAGAGAAAAUUUGGCAAGGAUUACCUGCUGCAGAUGAAGAUGAAGACCCCCACGCAAGAGGAGACCCUUCACUUCACGCUGAAAUUCUAAGGCUUUUCCCCCAGGCUGCUUGGUGGGAAAGGGUCCAUAGCCAACUUCCAGUGUCCCUGGAGAAGACC